CGCACUCACUUCAUUUCCUGUUUGCAGAGGAUCAUAUAACGUGAGCGGCAGAAGAACAACGGUCCCUGAACGCCUCUUCGGUGGUUUCAGGCCGCCGAGUAGGCUCAGGUGUAUCCGGUUCCGUAGGUCCAACCCCUGUAGGACAGAACAACAAAGCAGAGCUCGUCAGACCCUCCGUGCGUCAGAGAGCUAACAACAAACCUCACCCUGCAGCGUGUCACGCGAUGACGUCACUAUCGACGCCGUUCACUUAUGAAAGGCCGGACGAUGAGGAUGAUACUUGACGCAAAACCUGCACAAAUCCAACAUGAAUCCACCUGAUCCGUUAUCUGUGAUCUCACCUGUGGGGAAUUUAUUGGACACCGACUGAGAAGCAGAAGGUAGAGAGGGAGAAGCGGCACCAGGUGCCAGAAAAACGAGACUCUUUACACACUGUGUAAAGACAGACCCAAUGUGGGAUCAAUAAAGUUCAAUUAUUACUAUUAUUCACACGCGUGCCAGUAGGAACUCGGCCUACUGUCCUGCUUCCCAUGUUGAGCCUCUGUGAUGGCCUGUGUCAUCCGCUACUAACAUGCUGGUGAGGAAGACGAGCUCUGUGCUGGGAUGGAGGUCCCCUGGACUCUGUGGAGGAGGAUGUUGGCCAAGCUGACAUCCAUUAUGGACCGUUCCUCUCACCCACUGCACCAGAUCCAAUCACAGUGCAGGAAGGAGCAGGUCCUCCAUCCCCACCGCUGUCACACUGUACAAUGUAGAAGUCUGACAGGCUCAAAUAUGCACUGUUGUUUGGUCACUUAAUAUUGGACACUAUUUCUGAGCUGUAAAUAUGUUUAUUAUUAUUGUAUUGCGGGAUUAAUAAAGUCUGUCUGUCUGUCUGUCUGUCUGUCUGUCUGUCUGUCUGUCUGUCUGUCUGUCUGUCUGUCUGUCGCUCACGAGGACCAGGGUUACAGACUUCUAUACUAGACUAUAGUCCCGUCUGUUUGCUGUGGGCUGCAGUUCCGCCGUUCGACAGCAGGGGGCAGUGUGAGAUCAGGGUUGAACAGACGUUUAACGGGUGUGUUGCAAUUUUGGGCCGUGGAGCCUUUAAAAAGGUUGUUUAAUUAAAAGGUUCUAUUUCUAUUACAGUAAAAAAAGUCGUUACAAGGACCGGUGCUGCAGCCAGAGUGUGCAGCUACAUGACUUCAAUACAUACAAGUAUUAACACGCAGACAAUGAGAGGUUA